rnacentral:rRNA from 1 species
GUCAGGAUGACGCUAGCUACAGGCUUACACAUGCAAGUCGAGGGGCAGCAUGGUCUUAGCUUGCUAAGGCCGAUGGCGACCGGCGCACGGGUGAGUAACACGUAUCCAACCUGCCGUCUACUCUUGGACAGCCUUCUGAAAGGAAGAUUAAUACAAGAUGGCAUCAUGAGUCCCGCAUGUUCACAUGAUUAAAAGGUAUUCCGGUAGACGAUGGGGAUGCGUUCCAUUAGAUAGUAGGCGGGGUAACGGCCCCACCUAGUCUUCGAUGGAUAGGGGUUCUGAGAGGAAGGUCCCCCACAUUGGAACUGAGACACGGUCCAAACUCCUACGGGAGGCAGCAGUGAGGAAUAUUGGUCAAUGGGCGAGAGCCUGAACCAGCCAAGUAGCGUGAAGGAUGACUGCCCUAUGGGUUGUAAACUUCUUUUAUAAAGGAAUAAAGUCGGGUAUGGAUACCCGUUUGCAUGUACUUUAUGAAUAAGGAUCGGCUAACUCCGUGCCAGCAGCCGCGGUAAUACGGAGGAUCCGAGCGUUAUCCGGAUUUAUUGGGUUUAAAGGGAGCGUAGAUGGAUGUUUAAGUCAGUUGUGAAAGUUUGCGGCUCAACCGUAAAAUUGCAGUUGAUACUGGAUAUCUUGAGUGCAGUUGAGGCAGGCGGAAUUCGUGGUGUAGCGGUGAAAUGCUUAGAUAUCACGAAGAACUCCGAUUGCGAAGGCAGCCUGCUAAGCUGCAACUGACAUUGAGGCUCGAAAGUGUGGG